rnacentral:rRNA from 1 species
UACGUAGGGUGCAGGCGUUAAUCGGAAUUACUGGGCGUAAAGCGUGCGCAGGCGGUCUGCUAAGAGAGAUGUGAAAUCCCCGGGCUUAACCCUGGGAACUGCGUUUCGUAACUGGCAGGCUUGAGUGUGGCAGAGGGGGGUAGGAAUUCCACGGUGUAGCAGUGAAAUGCGUAGAGAUGUGGAGGAACACCGAUGGCGAAGGCAGCCCCCUGGGCCAAGA